UACGAAGGGGGCUAGCGUUGUUCGGAAUUACUGGGCGUAAAGCGCACGUAGGCGGAUUGUUAAGUCAGAGGUGAAAUCCCGGAGCUCAACUUCGGAACUGCCUUUGAUACUGGCAAUCUAGAGUCCGGAAGAGGUUAGUGGAAUUCCCAGUGUAGAGGUGAAAUUCGUAGAUAUUGGGAAGAACACCGGUGGCGAAGGCGGCUCACUGGCUCGUUUCUGACGCUCAGGCGCGAUAGCGUGGGGAUCAAACAGG
rnacentral:rRNA from 1 species